AUUUUAUGUGAGUAACUUGGAUCGCUACAAGCUUGAAAUAGACGACAAAAGUUCACAAUAUUUAUAUAAUAUUCGCAAACUGCCGUUUAUUUGGAUGCUUUUGUCUACGCUACGGCCCUUGAUGCAAGCAAUCCUGAUACGGAUAAGCGGUCAAAAGAACAUGAUGUAGCCUAACAAGACAGAAAUACAAGGACCAGGUGUCAGGCGUGUAAACCUGUAACAUUUCAGUUAUUUCAUCAAUAUAUUGUGUUUUUAACGGGUAAAUGUUGGGGCCAGAGUAAUAGACUCUUUCAAGUUGAAGAUGCCAUAAUGAAACACAAUAGUGCAAGGGGUGCAAACAAAAUGGAAUUUCCUGGUGAGAAUAAUAUAUUGAAUAUGGCGUCCUCAAGUAAAAUUGUCUAGUGUUACGCAGAGUAAAGUAAUAAAGUAGGGGGGGGGUUAACUUUGAAAGUAUCCAGCGUGUCAGGCUCUAUCCUUGAAAUAAAGCUGCCCUGCGAGCAAAGUCCUCUCCUAUUUCUUCUCGGCACGGAGAAGCGAGAGAGACUGCAGAACUUGGGUAGAAAUUCAUUUGAGCAUGUGCGAAGGUUGCUAAGCAACUGUCUAUUUCCCAGAAGAAGAUUUAAUAAGUAGUUUCUGGUUUCGUUGUUUCCGGCAUCAAAACCAGUUAUUAAACCAGUAUCAAACCUGAAAUUAUACAUAAUUAUCCAAGUUUUUGGAUUGUCGGCUCCACAAAGAAUAUACACAAGUUUUGCAGAAUCUCUCUCGCUUCUCCGUGCCAUGCCGAGAAGAAAUAUGAGACGACUUUGCUCACAGGGUAAAAUAAAGCCUGCUACGGAGACAAUAAAUGCAUAUGAUUCGUAGUACACACAAAAUUGCCAUUGGUCAGAAUUAGUAGCUUUUCUUUUUAAGGUAAUAUCAAAUUGUUGUUUACGUAAUGAUAUUCCAUACUUGUAAUUGUACUUUAACUACUUUUGACCAUGUUAAUUGCUGCCUUUGCUGUUGAUUAACACAGUCUUUAACCAUUGUUAUUAUUUGGUAUGUAAUUCCUGGCUGUUUAAUUAAUGAAAAAUUAUUGGAAUAUUUCUUUUUAA